AUCCCGCCUCCGUCGACCCCCCCGCCGUCCAUCCCGCCUCCUUCUACCCCCCCGCAGUCGACCCCGCCGGCGCCAACCCAUCCAGCUACCCCUCCUGGGUCCUCCUCGACAGCAGAGCCUACUUCGCCGACCGCGUCAACGCCACCACCGUGAAGGCCACGACGAGCACGGGCCACGAAUUCAAGGUCACCUUUUGUCUCGCCGACCCGCCCGCCGUCUCCUACUUCUGCGUCCACUGCCCCGAAGGUUGUUACACCACGGAGCCCCGCGUCGUCUCCUCCGCCAAUGAGCUCGUCCUCCUCUGCUUCGCCUUCAGCUCCGGCCCACGGAGCACAGAAAAAGACUCCCAUCUCGAGUACUUCGUCUACAAGGCUGCCUCCGGCGGCAAGCCCACCAUCAGAUCUGUUCCGUGUUUCCCUCGAGCCUACAGGCACUCAUGGCACGCCGCCAUCGUGCCCGGAUAGGGCGACAAUUUCUUGGUGGCUGAUCUUUCCCCGAAUGGGGACCCUGGGCACUACAACCUGCACAUCUUCUCGUCGGAGACAAACGAGUGGAGCACCAAACACGUGCAGCUGCAGAUCGACCCGGAUGUCCUGCCACUGGAGCUGCCAAUCCUAACUGACAAGGUGAUCUUGCUCGGAAGAAGCACGGUAGGAUGGGUCGACCUCUGGCGCGGCAUUGUCGUCUGCAAUUUGCUUGAAAAGGAGCCUGUUCCCCAUUUCAUCCCGCUGCCCAAGGCCGAAUUUGACCUGCAUCGGAAAAGCCAAGCACGGCAAGUGCGGGACGUCAUUGGCUUCACCGAAGGUUACAUCAACUUCAUCGAGAUCGAACACUGUGUCAGAUGGUUCCCCGUUGUCAGAAAGAGCAAUUUGAAGCCGGCCAUGAUUUUUGAUGUUGCAGAUACCAUUGAUGAUGCAGAGCUCCUCAGUCUUGAUGAUAUGGACGACGUUACGGAUGACAAACCUGUGCAGCAUGUACCUGCUGGCUGGAAGAUCCGGACAAUGUUUAGGAGCAUUGAUUGGAACUAUUGGGAAAGUAGUCUCACUCUUCAUGUUGACGACAUAUCAGCCUCCCCACCUGAACCCUCUGUGCUGCAAUCUCAUCUAUGGAAUGAUACAGACAAGAAAUGGACAUUGGGAAAACUGAAGUGUACAAGCUUCCCGACCUUUGGUUUUUAUGGGGGUGAUGUUGUCUACCUCGUGUCUAAGGUGGAGUCUCAGGAUAAUGAUGCAUUGCUUGUUGGUGUUGAUACUCGAAAAAUGAAGCUGGAAUCCAUCAAAGCAUAUGGCUGUGGGAGAUCCAUUUCUUUUGGUCCCAUUCCGGUUGUUCGUUUUAAAAUUGGAAGGAAGCAAGAAGUCAUCGAACCAUCUUGUGGCGGGAGAUCUACUUCUUUUGAUGUCAUUUCAUGUGCAUUCUCAAAAUAUCUGAAUACCGCUCAAGUCCAAGGCAUGGUUUUCUUUUGCUCUGCUUCUGUUGACCUUCAUACACUCAAGCCUUGUAAUGGGGAAGCUGCAGCAGAGUCUGCUCAGAAUGGUGUGCUGAAUUAUCAUCUUUCAUCGAGGGAUACUGUUCCGAACAGUGUGGUCGGCAUCCUCAACCCCAGCAAAACAUGUGGAAUGAGGGUGGCUGCAAUGGGGGUUGGAGUGAAUAUGGUUAUAGCGUGCAGUAGCCAUCCGGUUUGACACAAACUGGGCAGCCAAUGUUGUCUUCAACUUCAACUCGAUUAGUGUCGGUCCCACCACUGGGAUAGAAGCUGUUUUGUGCAGAGAAGCUUCUGUUCGCGAUUAACUCACCUAGCUCUGUGCCAUCAAGUGAAAUGUGUAAGCCGACGACGGCGUCGCUCCUUUGAUGCCUCUAAUGCCAGUGCAGACUCCCUUGGCUCAACCAUGGCCAACAUCAGCACAUGAAGCCAUUUUCAUCUCCUGCACAUCGCGACUUGGUGGAAUGUCAGGGUUGAUGUCCUGGAAUGUCAACAAAGUGCAUGCUUUUGCAUCUCGAUGCUGUGCAGCCAUGUCCACAUACCCGCUACCACCGUAUCUUAUCAUAUCAUAUGGAUGAUGCUUUAAAACAUUUGGUGAAUA